GACGAACGCUGGCGGCAUGCCUAAUACAUGCAAGUCGAGCGGAGUUGAUGGAAAGCUUGCUUUCCUGAUACUUAGCGGCGGACGGGUGAGUAACACGUAGGCAACCUGCCCUCAAGCUUGGGACAACUACCGGAAACGGUAGCUAAUACCGAAUACUUGUUUUCUUCGCCUGAAGAGAACUGGAAAGACGGAGCAAUCUGUCACUUGGGGAUGGGCCUGCGGCGCAUUAGCUAGUUGGUGAGGUAACGGCUCACCAAGGCGACGAUGCGUAGCCGACCUGAGAGGGUGAUCGGCCACACUGGGACUGAGACACGGCCCAGACUCCUACGGGAGGCAGCAGUAGGGAAUCUUCCGCAAUGGGCGAAAGCCUGACGGAGCAAUGCCGCGUGAGUGAUGAAGGUUUUCGGAUCGUAAAGCUCUGUUGCCAGGGAAGAACGCUUGGGAGAGUAACUGCUCCCAAGGUGACGGUACCUGAGAAGAAAGCCCCGGCUAACUACGUGCCAGCAGCCGCGGUAA
rnacentral:rRNA from 1 species